rnacentral:tRNA from 1 species
GGGAGUUUAGCUCAGCUGGGAGAGCAUCUGCCUUACAAGCAGAGGGUCGGGGGUUCGAACCCCUCAACUCCCAU